GCCAGUAGCUAUAUCACUCUGCAACUUACAACUGGCAACCCAUUAAAGCUAAGCAGGUGUGAGCCUGGUCAGUACCUUGAUGGGAGACCUCCUGGGAAAAACUAAGGUUGCUGCUGGAA
rfam:Lepisosteus oculatus linkage group LG7, whole genome shotgun sequence.